GACGAACGCUGGCGGCGUGCCUAAUACAUGCAAGUAGAACGCACAGUUUAUACCGUAGCUUGCUCCACCAUAAACUGUGAGUUGCGAACGGGUGAGUAACGCGUAGGUAACCUGCCUGGUAGCGGGGGAUAACUAUUGGAAACGAUAGCUAAUACCGCAUAAUAUUGAUUAUUGCAUGAUAAUUGAUUGAAAGAUGCUAUUGCAUCACUACCAGCUGGACCUGCGUUGUAUUAGCUAGUAGGUGAGGUAACGGCUCACCUAGGCGACGAUACAUAGCCGACCUGAGAGGGUGAUCGGCCACACUGGGACUGAGACACGGCCCAGACUCCUACGGGAGGCAGCAGUAGGGAAUCUUCGGCAAUGGACGAAAGUCUGACCGAGCAACGCCGCGUGAGUGAAGAAGGUUUUCGGAUCGUAAAGCUCUGUUGUAAGAGAAGAACGGGUGUGAGAGUGGAAAGUUCACACUGUGACGGUAUCGUACCAGAAAGGGACGGCUAACUACGU
rnacentral:rRNA from 1 species